rnacentral:rRNA from 1 species
AGUGAACGCUGGCGGCGUGCCUAAUACAUGCAAGUCGAACGGAGUGGCGCACGGGUGAGUAAUGUAUAGCUAAUCUGCCCUACACUAGAGGACAACAGUUGGAAACGACUGCUAAUACUCGAUAGUGUAGGAUGAGUCGAUAUUGUAUCAGCUAGUUGGUGAGGUAAUGGCUAACCAAGGCUAUGACGCGUAACAGGUCUGAGAGGAUGAUCAGUCAACCUGGAAGUGAGACACGGUCCGGACUCCUACGGCAGGGAGCAGUAGGGUAUAUUGCUCAAUGGGGGUAACCCUGAAGGGGCUCCGCCGCGUGAAGGAUGACACUUUUCGGAGCGUAAACUCCUUUUGUUAGGGAAGCGGUACCUAACGAAUAAGCACCGGCUAACUCCGUGCCAGCAGCCGCGGUAAUAC